UCGGAAGGUGCGGCUGGAUCACCUCCUUUCUAAGGAAAUAAAUUCACGGACUGUAACAGGAAAGUGGAUUAAAUAAAAAGUCUUAUAGACUUAUCUACACUGUUUUAAUUAUAUAUGGACCUCUCAAGUGAGUUAGUUUAGGUGCAAUUCCUAAAAGGUCAUUAAUGAACCAUGAAAACUAAACAAUCAUAUCAAAGAAGAAGAGUCAAAUUUAAUACGAAGUAAUAAAGAAGACGCUUUUUCACUGAAAAAGAAAGCAGUCAAUGAGAAUUGAUUAGCAAAGGUCAAGUAAAAAAGAGCAUUAGGUGAAUGCCUAGGCACCAAGAGGCGAAGAAGGUCGCGACAAGCUGCGAAAAGCUGUGGGUAGGAGCAAAUAUCCGCCAAACCACAG
rnacentral:misc_RNA from 1 species